rnacentral:misc_RNA from 1 species
GAUGAAGAACGUAGCGAAAUGCGAUACGUAAUGUGAAUUGCAAAUUCAGUGAAUCAUCGAGUCUUUGAACGCACAUUGCGCCCCCUGGUAUUCCGGGGGGCAUGCCUGUCCGAGCGUCAUUGCUGCCCUCAAGCACGGCUUGUGUGUUGGGCCCCGUCCUCCGAUCCCGGGGGACGGGCCCGAAAGGCAGCGGCGGCGCCGCGUCCGGUCCUCGAGCGUAUGGGGCUUUGUCACCCGCUCUGUAGGCCCGGCCGGCGCUUGCCGAUCAACCCAAAUUUUUAUCCAGGUUGACCUCGGAUCAGGUAGGGAUACCCGCUGAACUUAAGCAUAUCAAUAAGCGGAGGA